AUUUUGAACGCAUAUUGCACUUUCGGGUUACGCCGGGAAGUACGCCUGUCUCAGUCUCCGUACAUCAAACUUGCCUUUCUUUUUCUGUGUAGUCAGGAAUGGAGAUGGCAGAAUGUGAGGUGUCUCGAGCCGUCCCCUCUUUGGGAGAUAGCACGAGUCCCUUUAAAUGUACGUUGAUCUCUCUUGUGUCUUAGUGAAGUGUAAUGCUCGAACGCAGUGAUCUGUUCAGAUUGCUUUGCGCUGGUGGGCGACUUCGGAAAGGACAUUAAGGAGAUGACCUCUAUUGGCGGUAUGUUAGGCUUCGGCCCGACGUUGCAGCUGACGGGGUGUUGUUUCCGUUCUUUCCUUGAGGUGUACCUGUCGUGUGUGAGGUCGAACUGGACGCUGGUUAUUGUGUAGUAGAGUAUUGCUGCGCUUUGACGCCUUCGGGUAAAGAGGACG
rnacentral:rRNA from 1 species